rnacentral:rRNA from 1 species
GAUGAACGCUGGCGGCGUGCCUAAUACAUGCAAGUCGAACGAGGUGCUUUUGUAGCAAUACGAAAGUAUCCUAGUGGCGAACGGGUGAGUAACGCGUUGGUGACCUACCCCAAAGUGUGGGAUAACAGUUCGAAAGAACUGCUAAUACCGCAUGUGGUUAUCGGGUUUAGAAACUGAUAACUAAAGGAGCAAUUCGCUUUGGGAGGGACCUGCGUCCCAUCAGCUAGUUGGUGAGGUAACGGCUCACCAAGGCUACGACGGGUAGGGGACCUGAGAGGGUGGCCCCCCACAAUGGAACUGAAACACGGUCCAUACACCUACGGGUGGCAGCAGUAGGGAAUAUUGCACAAUGGGCGAAAGCCUGAUGCAGCAACGCCGCGUGUGCGAUGAAGGCCUGGUUGUAAGCUCUUUACCUAGGAGUGAUAAUGACAGUACCUGGAGAAUAAGACUCCGGCUAACUCCGU